CCUCGGGCUCCGUGCAACGGCAGGCCGCAAACCCCGCCAGGUCCGGAAGGAAGCAACGGUAGUGGUUCGAACCGUGUGCCGCGGAUCACCCGGGGUCU
rnacentral:SRP_RNA from 1 species